GGCGAACGCUGGCGGCGUGCCUAAUACAUGCAAGUUGAGCGCUGAAGGUUGGUACUUGUACCAACUGGAUGAGCAGCGAACGGGUGAGUAACGCGUGGGGAAUCUGCCUUUGAGCGGGGGACAACAUUUGGAAACGAAUGCUAAUACCGCAUAAAAACUUUAAACACAAGUUUUAAGUUUGAAAGAUGCAAUUGCAUCACUCAAAGAUGAUCCCGCGUUGUAUUAGCUAGUUGGUGAGGUAAAGGCUCACCAAGGCGAUGAUACAUAGCCGACCUGAGAGGGUGAUCGGCCACAUUGGGACUGAGACACGGCCCACACUCCUACGGGAGGCAGCAGUAGGGAAUCUUCGGCAAUGGACGAAAGUCUGACCGAGCAACGCCGCGUGAGUGAAGAAGGUUUUCGGAUCGUAAAACUCUGUUGGUAGAGAAGAACGUUGGUGAGAGUGGAAAGCUCAUCAAGGGACGGUAACUACCCAGAAAGGGACGGCUAACUACGU
rnacentral:rRNA from 1 species